GAGUGUAUCCGCUUAUUUAUGUUAUUUAUUAACACUGAGCAGAGACAGACUUCAUCCAGAUGCUUUCCAAGCCUGUGCAUAGGGAAAUCCCGCUGUGAGACCACUGAGACAUCACCUGUGUUUCAGGGAGUCCCGGAGCCCAUUAAUAGCAGGAUUUUGCAAAGCGUCGCCCCAGGAAAUGUCCCUAAUCCCUGGCCACAUGCACAUCCACUGCUGGGAACAGGACGCCGGGACAGACAGACCUUUGCCCUGGCCCUUGGGCAGCCACUCCUAUCCAGCCUCUCCCACGUCAGGACAUUUGGGGGCCUGUCUUUAAACUUUUCUAAGGGGAGAGGUUUGCGAGGCAAACCCUGACCUGAAUGUGAAUGUGGAGCCCGUUCCUAGAGGUAAAAGGGUGUCGAGGGCACUUUCUUUCCUGGCUCUUUAUGGGGGGCACCUCCUGCUCCCGUGCUGGCGCAGUCACGGCUUGCUCGCUCGUGGGGCAGCCCCCGGCUCUGGCGUCCCCGCCGAGACGCGACGCUGAUCCCUCCGCAGGGAUGGCCGUGCCCGUGGGAGCAGCCGCUAUCUGCCCGGUUUGACUCGGUGCCGUUUUCUCCCCCGAGGAGGCGGCUGCUGUCGCGGCACGCAGAGGCACCCCCUCCUCCUUUAUGCUGACUCAGCACACUUUGGAAAACCAGCUAUCACCAGCAGCAGAGACGGCUCCCUGCAGCUUUCCACCCGGCUGCUUUUGUUAUUAGAAAACCCCUUCCAUCUCCAUACGCCUAUUUUCUUCAUUGCAGCAUUGCCUGGGAGUCGUAGGCAGGAUCAAGCCCUUUUUGCCCGGUGUCCUUUGCGCGUCCAUCAAGACCCCAGCGCCUGUGAACGCCCCGAACCUGCUGCCAGCAGCACAUCGGGUCCCCUCCCCCUCUGCCCCCGGUCCCAGCCGCAGGGUCAGCCUGGAGGGGAGCGUCCUCGGAGGCCUGCACGGGCGUUUGAGCGAUCCCCGGGUGUAGGAACCCUUCACCCCCUGCUUUGCUUUAUUCGGGUUUGCUCCCCGAGGCAGGGGUGCGACGGAGGGAGGUUUGGCUACGCUGCGGAUCUCAUUGCCAGGGAGCCGUAAGGAGGCAGAGACAAGAUGAUGAUUAAAAAGCCGAUGCACUGCAGCGGAGCUUGUUUCAGAGUUGCAAGAAAAGAGCUGUUUUCUGUGAAGUGCAAAAAAAUGCCCCUGAGUUCAGCCAGAUCCCACCUCCAGGCUGUUGUUCGCAAGGGCAGGGGUGGCUUCGAGCCCCAGAAUGGGGGCUGCUUGGAGGGGCUUGGGGCAGGACAAGCCCCGGCACCCGAGACCACAGCAUCCAUCAGGGAGAGAGGACUCAUGGACCAGCAAGGUCUUGGGGUCUGAGGGAAUAAUUAACUCCGUGGCAGUCAUGGGUUGGCCAUGCUGAUCUUUUUAACCCUGCCCCUUAAAUGCUUUACCCGUCGGAAGGGACUGAGCUGUGCUAAAAGGUUAAGUAACUCGCUCAGGGUUAUUACGGUUGUCUGUGGCAGAGCAGGGCAAAAAAAAAGCUGUGGGCUUCUGAGUCACGGUCAUUUUUUUACCUGUCCUCAUGGUUAAAAAAAGCAGCUUGGUGCUGCUGGGUCUGGAUUUGGUGUCCAGCCAUCGAUUCUUCUUAUGCCUUUCUCUGUGAAAUUUAAAAGCUCUUUAAUGCUUAAUAUAUUCUCCUCUGCAGGUACUUACAUAUUGCAAUCAAAUCCCCUCCCGGCGCGCCGGUGGAUAACCCAAACAGGUUGAUCUCCGUAAGCGUCUCGCAACGGAGGUUCUUCUCCAGCAUCCAAUGGUUUCUGUGCGUUCCCGCCGCAGCUCCCCCUCCCUCCCCGAUACCCCUUCCAAGCCUCAGGCUCCCGAAGCACUUGCUGCAAGGUCAGUCCCGGCCCGCUACGGGCAGAGCACGGCUGGAACCAGCCUCGUUUUCUUCUCCCCGCCUGAUGAUCGAGGUGGGAUAAAGAGGCAGAAAACCCGCAGAGCUGCCAAAAAGAGAAAAGGCCGGGCAGGGAUUGCAUGGGGGCAAGUCAUUGCGGUCCUUAGAACAGUAUCUUUAAUUGCUGCAUCUCUUAGUCUGCCUGUGCCCAAAGAGCUAAUCCCAGGUGAUUACACUGGACAAUGUCAUUUAAAUCAAUUAUCUCUCCAUUCAGAGCCAUCCGGCCUCUCCUUCCUUCACUGUACAUCCACGAGCCCCAUAAUUUAUUCAUCCUAGGCUGCACUUAAACAUCUGCUCCGGUGCCAUUUGAGUUUGGCAGAGCAUGAGCUUUAAAAUUUUAUGAAACACAGUGCAGGUGGCAAAAUCAGAAAUUAAGGAUUAUAAUCACGGCGAAGAGCAGGACUCAGCCGCGCUCCUCCGGGGCUCCCCCCAGCUCAAGAGGAGAGACACGAGGAAAGCUCCUGGGGAUUUAACGCCCGCCAGGUUUGCAAAUCACAUAUUUUUUUCCCCCAUUUUCCCAUUCUGAAUGGCAGGUUGGGAGGAUGUUCACAUCCUCGCCGCGCCUGGGAGCGCUGCGCUCGUGUGGAUGCUUACAGAGGCAAGGAGAGCACCUUGCGCUCGCUGCUCCUCGGGGUUUUGUGGCUUUGUCGUUGCUGCAGCAGAAGUCUUCUGCCGAAGGGAUUAUUUUUGGCAGGUGAGCUGCCUGUGAAGAAGGCAACUUUCUCUCUUUCCCCACCAAAAUGGGACUAACGGGCUUUUAAUUAAACGCUCCAUCCCAGCCGUGCUACUGGGAGGAAGGAAGCCACGCCGGAGCCGUGCCACGGUUGCGUCUCCUGCCCUGAACGUAGGGAUAGCGAUGCCGGGUACGGACCUCCCCGGGUGCGGGGGGAGCCCCAUCUUCUCCAGCACCACCUCACCCCUUUUCCCCCAUGAGUGCUUCCACCCCAUCAAAAAAUAACAAUAAAACUGGAAGUCUUUAUAAGCACCCUCUCAUCUGCCCCCCCCCACCCCCGCCCACGGGGGGGUUAGUUUGAGGCAGCGAAACCACAUCAGAGGCCGUACUGGGGCAGGCGCCAGCUCGGCCCUUUGAAGCUGCCUUCUCGGGGGGGAAACCUUACAGGUUUCCCGGGGAAAGCAGUGCUACUGCAGCAGAGAGGUGUCUGCUUGAAGGGAAAGGUCUCGAGCAUCGCUCUUGGGCUGCGGUGGACAGAGGAGGCGUUUUCCUCCUGUUCCUUCCCCUACCCCAGUUUUCCUCUCCUUAGCUUAAGCGAGCCUAAUCUCAUCAGUUUGUGUCCAGGCUGUUAUUGAAAACACUAAACAAGCACCAAACCUGCAGGACCCUUUUCAUUUUUCUUGCCAGGAGCCUGCAAAUGGGGGGGUUAUUCCCUGGGGCACGGGGCGAUGCUCGCGGGGCGCCGCCGGGGCCUGCCCAGGUUCCCCCCGCCGGGGCAGCCCGCGGAGAUGCUGCGUGCCGGGACCGAUGUGCUGCGGGUACCAUAGAUUUGGGAUGCUCUUGCUUGGCCAAAAGGUGCCUGACCUACGGCCACCGAAGCGGCGCGAAGGAUGGGGCUGCAGAUGGUCCAUACGAGCUUCAAGACGCGGGUGCCGAACCCUAUUUCAUCCCUGCGACCACGGGGUUGACCAGAGGUUAGGAGGUGAUGUGCGUACGUGCGCUUUCCCUCCGCCACUGAGGAGUUGUUGUCUUAAUGAGGCUUUUGGAGCUUUUUCUGAUUUCCCCACCAGAAGCGCCGGGAGGUGAUGCUCCGCCCUUGUGCUGCUCUGACCUCAAGCUACUGAAAAGAAGAAAUGGGAAAAAAACCCCAACCCUCAGGGCUGACGACGUCCCCAGGUGAGACAUGGGGUGGACCUCACGGGGCCAGGCACCUUUGGGAGCUCAGGGAUGAGAAGAAAGCAUCCAGGAAUGACAUUUUUUUCUCACAUUAAAGAAUGAAAUGAACAAAUA